rnacentral:rRNA from 1 species
UUUGAGAGAAGGGAUGACACAGUAGGAUAAGCUAAGCACACUGUUGGUUAUGUGUGCCCAAGCAUUGAGGCAGUCAAAGUAGGCAAAUCCGCUUUGAUAAUGCUGGGAUGUGAUGGGGAGCGAAAUUUAGUAGCGAAGUAGCUGAUUUCACACUGUCAAGAAAAGUCUCUAUCGAGGUUAAAGGUACCCGUACCGCAAACCGACACAGGUG